CCGAACCUCCGAUCUCCUGCGCUCUGAGCGGGUGCGCUACCGACUGAGCCAUAGAGGCGACAUACGAACCGUCGCUCCAGGGAACGAAUGAUUCUACUCUGUCGCUAACUGGCGUCGCUCCUUGUCUCCCGUAAUACAGGACCGACUUUGAAAGCGCGGUGGACAAGAUGGGUGGGCGGCCGAGUGCGCUAAAUCGUGCUCGUGUCAAACUGUUCGCCCGAGAUUCGACUCCCGGCUAGGGCAGAUAUAUAUUUUAUCUCCUUCACUUCUGUGGCAGCUGAGGUUGCUCAAUUGUGACCAGUCUGAAACUGUCUGGGGUUCGACUCCCGGCCAGCGCGACCACGGAACUUGGCCCAGAAAUGUUCUUGACAUGAGCAAGAAAAGUCCAUGGAAUCAUUUAACCCAAAAGAAUAGGAAGAUCGGCGUGGAGGUGUUUCUGUCCUGGACAUCAGCCGUGCAGCCCAUGGAAUCAUCAGAUUUAAGUUGAGUUGGUGUCACAGUGGUAACCGUUGGUCCAGUUAUUUUUUCUCCCCCCCUGUAACAUCACCCACAUUGUGGAAGGGUCUAGCGGAGCCGUUCCGCUCAACGCUGUGGAGUCAGCGGACCCCUUGCAUGGGGACAAUACGUGCAACGCGUGACCUCACUGCGUCAAUGAGGGGGCUGGACGUGUCGCCCUGAGCCGUCCAAAAAAAACCUCCCCUCCCCCUGCCCUCCUCUCGGCUGCGGCUGCUGUGGAGGUAGUAGUAGGCUGCCGCCGCUGCUGCGGGGGCUGUGGGGGUAGUAGUAGUGGUAAUCCUACUGCUGCCACUGCAGCCGCUGCAUCAGAGACGUCUGUGACGUCACUGCGGUAGUUGUGGCUGUCUGCUACUACAUCCACAGUUACUAAAGCUUCUGGCUAACUAGGUGUAGGAAAUCAAGUAAAAUGUCAGAUGUAGUGAUUUUCUAUUCUUUAUUGUUUCAAAUCAUUUACAUUAUAAGAGUAAGUCUUCCUCAAGUAGCUGGCUUGUUUCUGCUGGUGACUUGGAGCGAAUCUGAAUACCUGAAAAAGAAUGAAAAAAAUCUAAGUUAAAUUCAAAUUCUCAGUUCAACUCAAACAUGUUCUGGACCAUAUGUAUCACUGUGAUGCCAACUCAUCGAAUGAAAUUCUAUGUUACAGGUGGCCAGCAUCAAGUCCAG